UACGUAGGGUGCAAGCGUUAAUCGGAAUUACUGGGCGUAAAGCGCGCGUAGGCGGCCCGGUAAGUCCGUUGUGAAAGUCAAAGGCUCAACCUUUGAACGCCGAUGGAUACUGCCGGGCUAGAGUCCGGAAGAGGCGAGUGGAAUUCCUGGUGUAGCGGUGGAAUGCGCAGAUAUCAGGAGGAACACCAAUAGCGAAGGCAGCUCGCUGGGACGGUACUGACGCUGAGGCGCGAAAGCGUGGGGAGCGAACAGG
rnacentral:rRNA from 1 species